CAUGGAGUUUGAUCCUGGCUCAGGAUGAACGCUAGCGGCAGGCUUAACACAUGCAAGUCGAGGGGUAUAGUUCUUCGGAGCUAGAGACCGGCGCACGGGUGCGUAACGCGUAUGCAAUCUACCUUUUACAGAGGGAUAGCCCAGAGAAAUUUGGAUUAAUACCUUAUAGUAUAACGACUUCGCAUGGAGAUGUUAUUAAAGAUUUAUCGGUGAAAGAUGAGCAUGCGUCCCAUUAGCUAG
rnacentral:rRNA from 1 species